CCUACGGGUGGCAGCAGUGGGGAAUAUUGGACAAUGGGGGGAACCCUGAUCCAGCCAUGCCGCGUGUGUGAAGAAGGCCCUCGGGUUGUAAAGCACUUUCAGUGAGGAAGAACGCCUGGUGGUUAAUACCCAUCAGGAAAGACAUCACUCACAGAAGAAGCAUCGGCUAACUCCGUGCCAGCAGCCGCGGUAAUACGGAGGGUGCGAGCGUUAAUCGGAAUUACUGGGCGUAAAGCGCGCGUAGGUGGCUUGAUAAGCCGGUUGUGAAAGCCCCGGGCUCAACCUGGGAACGGCAUCCGGAACUGUCAAGCUAGAGUGCAGGAGAGGAAGGUAGAAUUCCCGGUGUAGCGGUGAAAUGCGUAGAGAUCGGGAGGAAUACCAGUGGCGAAGGCGGCCUUCUGGACUGACACUGACACUGAGGUGCGAAAGCGUGGGUAGCAAACAGGAUUAGAUACCCUUGUAGUC
rnacentral:rRNA from 1 species